AGCGAACGCUGGCGGCAGGCUUAACACAUGCAAGUCGAGCGCCCCGCAAGGGGAGCGGCAGACGGGAGAGUAACACGUGGGAACAUACCUUUUGGUUCGGAACAACUGAGGGAAACUUCAGCUAAUACCGGAUAAGCCCUUACGGGGAAAGAUUUAUCGCCGAAAGAUUGGCCCGCGUCUGAUUAGCUAGUUGGUGAGGUAACGGCUCACCAAGGCGACGAUCAGUAGCUGGUCUGAGAGGAUGAUCAGCCUCACUGGGACUGAGACACGGCCCAGACUCCUACGGGAGGCAGCAGUGGGGAAUAUUGGACAAUGGGGGCAACCCUGAUCCAGCCAUGCCGCGUGAGUGAUGAAGGCCUUAGGGUUGUAAAGCUCUUUUACCCGGGAAGAUAAUGACGGUACCGGGAGAAUAAGCCCCGGCUAACUUCGUG
rnacentral:rRNA from 1 species